rnacentral:rRNA from 1 species
UACGUAGGGGGCGAGCGUUGUCCGGAAUUAUUGGGCGUAAAGAGCGUGUAGGCGGUUCGGUAAGUCUGCCGUGAAACCCUGGGGCUCAACCCCGGGCGUGCGGUGGAUACUGCCGGGCUAGAGGGUGGUAGAGGCGAGUGGAAUUCCCGGUGUAGCGGUGAAAUGCAUUGAGAUCGGAAAGAACACCAACGGCGAAAGCACUCUGCUGGGCCGACACUGACACUGAGAGACGAAAGCUAGGGGAGCAAAUGGG